rnacentral:lncRNA from 1 species
UUGUUUCAAGAGGCCAUUAGUCUGAAUACGACGCGAAUUUACCGAAAGAAAUUCAAACUUUUCCGCGGUACGAGUAGCUUUAAUUCGAUUCAAAUUGACUUGUUUUCACUCUUUUCUAAUAGAAAUAUGUUUUGAUGAUGCGAAUAAUCAACACGAAUACCUUUACCGUCCGCACCAGAUAGAAUUCUUGCCUCUAUCGUGUAGCAGUGCCAGUCCAAGCCUUGACUUCCCAUCCCCUGUAACUAGGCGGCGACUGUUCAUCUUUUUCUCUUUCCCGCGCUUUAAUCCAACUUUUUUCGCGGUCAUUACUGACUCCAUUCCGGGCUAUUUAUCUGAUAAUGCGUUUAGUCAAAGUUUUCUGCUUUCGCUUUCCCCUCACAAUCCUUACUCUCUCGACCCUUUCUUGACAGUCCCCCAGUUUCUCGCCAAAAUCAUCUCUCGUUUCCUUGCAUUUCCACCAUCUUCACAUGACCCAGAUCGAGUUCAGACCCN